rnacentral:rRNA from 1 species
AUGGGGUUGGGGCUGGGCGACCCGCCGGCGGAUUACGGCUCCAUCAUGGCGGUGGGGUUGUUCGUCGCGCUCAUGUGCAUCUGCAUCAUCGUCGGCCACCUCCUCGAGGAGAAUCGCUGGAUGAACGAGUCCACCACCGCGCUCUUGCUUGGGCUGGGCGCUGGCACGGUCAUCCUCUUCGCGUCCAGCGGGAAAAACUCGCGCUUAAUGGUCUUCAGCGAGGAUUUGUUCUUCAUCUAUCUGCUCCCACCCAUCAUUUUCAAUGCAGGUAUAAUAUCCCUUGGUGCGAUGGGGCUAAUAUCAAGGCUGAACAUAGGCUCCCUUGAGCUUGGAGACUACCUUGCACUUGGGGCAAUAUUCUCGGCAACGGACUCUGUUUGCACCUUGCAGGUGUUAAGCCAAGAUGAGACACCCUUCUUGUACAGUUUGGUGUUUGGUGAAGGUGUUGUUAAUGAUGCGACAUCAGUUGUGUUGUUCAAUGCAAUCCAGAACUUUGAUCUUGGAAAUUUCAGUAGCCUCAAAUUCCUACAGUUCAUUGGAAAUUUCCUCUAUCUAUUCGGCGCCAGCACCUUUCUUGGAGUAGCUAGUGGACUUCUCAGUGCUUAUGUCAUCAAGAAACUGUACUUUGGCAGGCACUCCACUGAUCGUGAAGUUGCUAUUAUGAUGCUCAUGGCUUAUUUAUCUUACAUGCUGGCUGAAUUGCUUGAUUUGAGUGGUAUUCUCACGGUUUUCUUCUGUGGUAUUGUAAUGUCACACUAUACCUGGCACAAUGUAACAGAGAGUUCCAGGGUCACAACCAAGCAUGCCUUCGCCACGUUGUCAUUCAUCUCUGAGACGUUUCUCUUUCUCUAUGUUGGCAUGGAUGCAUUGGAUAUAGAGAAGUGGAAGAUUGUUAGUGAAACAUAUAGCCCAAUGAAAUCUAUUGCCUUGAGCUCCAUUAUUUUGGCGUUGGUGCUGGUUGCAAGAGCUGCAUUUGUUUUCCCACUAUCUUAUCUCUCCAAUUUGACCAAACAAACUCCAGGCGAGAAGAUCUCUAUUAGGCAGCAAGUUAUUAUUUGGUGGGCGGGUCUCAUGAGAGGUGCCGUGUCAAUUGCAUUGGCCUACAAUAAGUUUGCAAAAUCAGGGCACACUCAGCUCCCUAGCAAUGCUAUCAUGAUCACCAGUACAAUAAUUAUUGUUCUUUUCAGCACAAUUGUCUUUGGGCUACUGACUAAGCCAUUGAUCAGACUCCUGAUUCCAGCGAGGCACCUCACUAGGGAAGUGAGUGCCCUUUCUGAGCCAUCCAGCCCAAAGUCCGUCCUUGAACAGCUGCCCGGGAAUGGGCCUGAGACGGAUCUCGAGAACGCUGUGAGCAUACGCCGCCCGACGAGCCUCCGGAUGCUCCUGGCGAGUCCAACACGGUCAGUCCACCACUACUGGCGCAAGUUUGACAACGCCUUCAUGCGGCCGGUGUUCGGAGGUCGAGGCUUCGUCCCAUUUGUCCCUGGAUCUCCCACCGAAAGCAAUGUACCAUUACUAGCCCAUGGAAGUGAGAACUAG